rnacentral:rRNA from 1 species
AAAACGACUCUCGCAACGGAUAUCUCGGCUCUCGCAUCGAUGAAGAACGUAGCGAAAUGACGUACUUGGUGUGAAUUGCAGAAUCCCGUGAAUCAUCGAGUCUUUGAACGCAAGUUGCGCCCGACGCCAUUCGGCCGAGGGCACGUCUGCCUGGGUGUCACG